GGUUUUGUAGCUCAACAGUAGAGCACUUGCCUAGCAAUCACAAGGCCCUGAGUUUGAUCCCCAGCACUGCCA
rnacentral:tRNA from 1 species